GGUCCAGACUCCUACGGGAGGCAGCAGUGGGGAAUAUUGCACAAUGGGCGCAAGCCUGAUGCAGCCAUGCCGCGUGUGUGAAGAAGGCCUUCGGGUUGUAAAGCACUUUCAGCGGGGAGGAAGGCGGUGAGGUUAAUAACCUCAUCGAUUGACGUUACCCGCAGAAGAAGCACCGGCUAACUCCGUGCCAGCAGCCGCGGUAAUACGGAGGGUGCAAGCGUUAAUCGGAAUUACUGGGCGUAAAGCGCACGCAGGCGGUCUGUCAAGUCGGA
rnacentral:rRNA from 1 species